rnacentral:rRNA from 1 species
UACAGAGGUGCCGAGCGUUAGGCGGAAUCACUGGGCUUAAAGCGUGCGUAGGCGGGCGUCUAAGUGUCUUGUGAAAUCCCACGGCUCAACCGUGGAACUGUUGGGCAUACUGGACGCCUUGAGGCUCGGUGAGGGGCGUGGAAUUCCGGGUGGAGCGGUGAAAUGCGUAGAGAUCCGGAGGAACACCGACGGCGUAGGCAGCGCCCUAGACGAGACCUGACGCUCAGGCACGAAAGCGCGGGGAGCGAACAGG